rnacentral:rRNA from 1 species
GAUCUGGCUCAGGAUGAACGCUAGCGACAGGCCUAACACAUGCAAGUCGAGGGGCAGCGGGGAGGUAGCAAUACCUUUGCCGGCGACCGGCGCACGGGUGAGUAACACGUAUGCAAUCCACCUGUAACAGGGGGAUAACCCGGAGAAAUCCGGACUAAUACCCCAUGAUAUGGGCUCUCCGCAUGGAGGGUCCAUUAAAGAGAGCAAUCUUGGUUACAGACGAGCAUGCGCUCCA